rnacentral:rRNA from 1 species
UGAACGCUAGCGGGAGGCUUAAUACAUGCAAGUCGAACGGUAACAGGUCCUUCGGGAUGCUGACGAGUGGCGCACGGGUGAGUAACGCGUACAUAACCUACCUUCAAGAGGGGGAUAGCCUUGGGAAACUGAGAUUAAUACCCCAUAAGAUUGACAAUAUUGCAUAGUGUGUCAAUUAAAGCUACGGUGCUUGGAGAUGGGUGUGCGUCCCAUUAGCUAGUUGGUGAGGUAACGGCUCACCAAGGCUGCGAUGGGUAGGGGGCGUGAGAGCGUGAUCCCCCACACGGGUACUGAGACACGGACCCGACUCCUACGGGAGGCAGCAGUAAGGAAUAUUGGACAAUGGGCGCAAGCCUGAUCCAGCCAUCCCGCGUGCAGGAUGAAUGCCCUACGGGUUGUAAACUGCUUUUACCAGGGAAGAAAUCCCAUGAUUUAUUAUGGGCUGACGGUACCUGAGGAAUAAGCACCGGCUAACUCC